UACGAAGGGUGCAAGCGUUAAUCGGAAUCACUGGGCGUAAAGGGCGCGUAGGCGGCCAUUCAAGUCGGGGGUGAAAGCCUGUGGCUCAACCACAGAAUUGCCUUCGAUACUGUUUGGCUUGAGUUUGGUAGAGGUUGGUGGAACUGCGAGUGUAGAGGUGAAAUUCGUAGAUAUUCGCAAGAACACCAGUGGCGAAGGCGGCCAACUGGACCAACACCGACGCUGAGGCGCGAAAGCGUGGGGAGCAAACAGGAUUAGAAACCCUAGUAGU
rnacentral:rRNA from 1 species